AAAAAAAAAAACCAUAUAUUAUAUUAAAUUAAAUAAUAAUAAAAAUCACAUAAGAGAUUACAUUAAUUUAAUUAACCGGACUGGGUUAAGAUGUAAAUCUAGCUAUGACCAAUUUGAUCAAUUAAAAGAUUGAGAUUACAAGAUGUAAGAAAUAAUUCCAUCUUACCAGAAGGAACAAAAAAAAAAAUUAACAUGAUCUAAGUAUCAAAGUAUAAGAAAAGAAAAAAUUUGAUAUUAUACUAUAUAUAUGUGUAUAUAUAUGGAGUAGAUCUGCUAAUGGCCAGGACCUCUUUUGCUGGGUCCGGAGGCCAACCGAAACGCCAGGCUCCUCACCGAAGGUCGACGCGGAACACUGGAGUUAUUCGCCGAGACAGCGAAAGACCCUGCAACACCAGCGCUGGCGGAUUCAUUAUCUGUCCUGGGAUCUUGCUCGCAUCCUGCUGUGUCUUUGGAGAAUACGGUGCUGCUCGAAGUUGGUCGAAGGGCUCUGCCAUGGACGAGAUUCAACUGGGUCGACAUGAACACUAGUAGAAUCAGACCCAUUACCAACCAUUCUCUUCUCGUUGUCAAUGGUGCUGAUAAAGAUGAGCUGUUCUUCAUCGUUGACGACAUAUCUCUCUUGCUGGCUGGCUGGCUGGCUUAGAUUAUUGCUUACGUACGAAAUCGUUGUUGUUGUUGUUGUUGUUGCUAUUUUGCUGUCUAGUUUGAAGGUACUGAUCAAUAUGCUGGUUCAGCAGGCAUACUUCAUAUAUAUAUAUAUAUAUAUAUAUAUAUAUACAUAAAAAUGAUGAAUAGGUUGCUUGGUCAUGAGGACGGUGACAAGCAAAAGGCGAGUAAGAGUGGACCACCACAGGCUUAGUUUGACUCCGCCUUCCUCUCUUUUUUCUUUUCUUUGUUCUACCUGAUAAAUAUAAAAUAUUUUAAAAAAUAAAUAUUUAUUCAAUGAG
rnacentral:lncRNA from 1 species